rnacentral:miRNA from 1 species
AGGCAUAGGCAAACUCCGGCCCUCCAGAUGUUUGGACUACAACUCCCACCAUGGGAAUUGUAGUCCCAAACAUCUGGAGGGCUGGAGUUUGCCUAUGCUU